GGGGGAGUGGCGAAAUGGCAGACGCGCAUGCCUUAGGAGCAUGUGCCUUAAUCGGCGUGUGGGUUCGACUCCCACCUUCCCCACCA
rnacentral:tRNA from 2 species